CUCGUAGGUGGCCAACUAAGUCAGACGUGAAAUCCCUCGGCUUAACCGGGGAACUGCGUCUGAUACUGGAUGGCUUGAGUUUGGGAGAGGGACGCGGAAUUCCAGGUGUAGCGGUGAAAUGCGUAGAUAUCUGGAGGAACACCGGUGGCGAAGGCGGCGUCCUGGACCAAUACUGACACUGAGGAGCGAAAGCCAGGGGAGCAAACA
rnacentral:rRNA from 1 species